UAGCUGACUUACCCCUCUUCAUUAGACGCCAAUUCACAGCCCUACGGCCGCCUAAAAAGGCAAAAUCUCUGAUGCUGGACAGCAUGUUCCGGGUCCCAAAGCCGACAAAGGCAUCAGCUGACCUCAUUAUCCACUUCCAAGCACUCCAGGACAGGGCCCUGGUACUCUCAGCCCUUCGAGGAAAACCCCCUCAGAAGUUUGAGGUCUCCUCCCUGUCUGUGUUCCC